CCGGCAAUCGACCAUAAAACUUUCAGUCCGGAGCAAAGCUAACUCACAGUUAUUAAAUUAUGUGCCACAUGCUACAGAAUGCACCAUAGAAGACCAACCCACGCCAAUUCCCGGAUCCAUCAACGCAAGAAAACAUAAUAUGCGCUGCAACAGAAACCACAAGAAGAAAACCACAACCCUAAAACACACUACACGCACCAUCACUGAGGACAGACAACCCAAGGUCUGAGAAGGCACAAAUUACACCAUGAGAAAAAUAAACGCACCGAACCUAGCCCAUCCAUGAACCCACCAACACCAUAGAGAGGCACAUGUAAGAACAGAGAGCAUAGGAGACCGGAGCAAGAGAGACAACACCAACAGAUCUGAAUUUUCAGAACAGAAACGUGUGGGAGACACCCACCAUGAACCACAAACAGAAGCCAACUGAACAAGGUCAAGCCUUAUUACUCGUGAGAAACUAACGACAAAGAUCCUCCAAUCAUCUGCAAGGCGACACCAUCGAAACAGACUCAUACCUCUCGGAUCUACAGUCAGCUUCACCAUCACUGAGAUCACACCAUGACACAGAAGCCGAGCUCACCUAGAACGAACCAGCACCAUCCCAAACGCCAUACCGUCGAAGAAGCUCAGCACUAACCACCACCAUCGAGGCUCAAAAGACUAGAAUCAAACUAAAUCUAGAUAGGAGAGUUAAUGGAGGCCCUCUCACAGCACGGCGAGGAGCGCCGGCCGUCAUUACGAAUUUAACAACCAUAAUAAUAAUACUAAUACUAAUCCUUUGGCCCAACAUCAGCAUAACCCAAUAACGUUAAAACAAAUCAAUUUGAAAUCUGUUUUGAUAACAAGAUUUCCCUUCUUCUUUGGACUUCAUGUAUUCAAAUUUAUAAUCCCACUAUAUAAAAGCUACUAAAUUGAAGCAAUUCUAAGCUGUCCACGUCAGCUAAAAUAUUCACAACCAAUCAUUCAGCCACGUCAUUUAACCUACCUCGCCAUCUGCGUCACCAAAUCGUCACGGUUUCAAAUCUUCUUCUACUUUCUUCAUCAAUCUCUGUUAUUAAUCUCUCGACUUAACGCAUUAUCUUAAAUCAUUCUUUCAAUUUCCAGAAUCAAUCACUAUAGAUUUGUUCUCCGUCCGUUUCAAAGAUCCAUAACACCACCACUAUAAAUCUGCGGGAAGUACAGCCCUCGCCACAUAUCGUCAAAGCAAUCCAUUCACUCAAAUAUGAUAUCUUUUUCAGUUGACAUGAUUCAGAUUACCAGAAGAUUUCUAAGAAGAGAGCAGAAGAGAUCGUAAAACUACAAACCCAACGACGAUGACGAAGAAGAUGAAUCGAUGAAGCCACAAGUGGUAACCAUUCAUAAGAUCUUCUCUGAUGCUAACAUGCCGCCGAAAUUUGACGAAAUCGAUGAGAAAGAAGGGUUCAACGAUGAUUCUGAUGGUGAAGACCACAGAAGAUUCAAUCUGGAAUCACCGAGGCUUUUGUAUAACUGAUGAUUUCAAGACGCAUUCAAAAGUUCUCUCAAGUCUUUUAUGAAGAAUAAAAGAGAUGAUGCAAUGGUGAGAUCUAUUUAGCAUAGAAAACCCAUUCUGAUAUGCAAAGUUUAGAAUAUAGUUUUGAGUUUCCAUGAUCGUGUCUCGGUAUUAUCAGCACAGAAGCGUCUUAUUGCUCAGAUGCCAGCAGAAGAGUAAGUUUGAAUGAAGGCCAAGGAUCACCAGAGCGCCUCUCACCUCUUCCUUGCUUUCUAUCCGUUGGAAGGACUUUCCGACUAUCACUCCGCGGCCGAGUUAUUGGUAAGGCUAUAUCCCUUAAACAUCAUCCUCACAGUUUUUAAUAAUCCAGAGAAAUGUUAUUUGCAGUAUAGUGAACGUCUGAUUGAAUUCAUUUUAAAACAAGUGUAUGUAAGUUGGGCUCCUUCGAUUCUGGGAAAGCUUGGAAUGUGAAGAAAAGUGGAGAACUAAUGGGAGUUGAUCUGAUACUGGUUGAUGGAAAGGUAAAUGCGCUUAAAGUCUGUUUUGAUUAUUAAUUUGGCACCUGUAGAAGAAAAAAACGAUUCUUGAUGGUACUAGGAGCAAGCAAAGCUUCAGAUUUGCGGACGCCCAUGUUUUGCUCCUAUUCGAAGAGGUCCCUGAGAGCAGAGACUUCAUCCCCAAGGUUAUGAGGAGUUGAUGUCAUUAGCUAAUACCAAUUCCGAGUUGCCUGGUUUGUUUUAUUCACAUCGUUCCCAUCUUCUUAAUUAUUGAUAAUCAUCUCAUACAGGCCCAUAAUUCCAUAUGUUUUAUUCCAGAUAUUUUGGUAAGUUCAUGGAUUUUACUUCCACUUUCUAUGAAGAAACACAAAAAUACUCAGCGAAUUAUGGCCAACCUCCGCUUUCAGGGGUCAUACCAAACUAUUCCCUUCAUGUUGUUAAACUCUUUACGAAAACUUCUGCUUAAUCAUUUACUUGACUCCUCCACAGGGAGGUGAUAACAACCCUGGCCAUGAUAUUCCAGGAGCUGGAGCUGUAACAACAGACCCUUCUCAAAGUGUUGAAAGAGAUAUUCAUGACAACAGCAACAGACCCAGUAACCAUGUGAUGGUGGAAAGCCUCUCAGGAACUGUUACUGAACCAAGUGACAUCGCUGUUUCAUCUGACAUGUCUUCUGCGGAGUCCGUCGAGGCAGUGUGUGCGCACUCUGCGAAGAAGCCACACCAUGGUUAAGCUUCAGAUUAUUGGAGUAGAUACAAGGUCGCUCAAUCUCACAACUGCUUUCUUAACCAGUUUUUAAAUUGUUUCAUAAACCGAAUAAGUAUCACUUUGAGCUAUUUUCCUCAGUGUUUUAACUUAUACGUUUAUUUCUUUUUCUCUAUGAAUUCUGCAUCUUUCUUUUUAAACAAUUUUGAACCGUAGAACUGGUUACAUAGACCAAUAUAUUGUUACUCCUACAAGCUGUUUCAUUUUCAUUUUCUGAAAAAUAUAUUCCGGAACUGAGAAAAGUGAGUUGUGAGAUACUUUGCUCUGUGUUUUCAAAGCAUAUCGUUAUCUUUAUCAUGUUAUUUUCAAUUUCAAGAAUCGAAUGUGUGUGUGUCCUCAGCUAUUAUGCCCCGCCGUAAGUGCAUUUUAUUAACGUAAAUAAAUUAUGUCUACUCCAAGAAUUCUAUUUUUGCUUAUGCUUUUAAAUUGUUGGUCAUCGAACUACUGGCUGGUUACAGAGGUUAAGAAUAUUCAAAACAGCUAAAAAAAAGAUUAUUCAACCCCGUCUGAUCCUGUCACACAUACACUAAUAUUCCGUCUCCUCAUCGUAUUAUCCAUAGGUCAUAACAAAAACUGAGAUCAACCCACUAAAGUAAAGUUCCAACUCGAAACUGUUUAAGUCAUCAUUCCAAUUUUUUUAAAAAAAAUUAAACAUCUCUGAUACCCUUGAUUCCAGAGACUCAACGCGCUGCUAAUGGUUACACUAAACAUCACACUUUAUUUUUACAGAUUUUACAGAUGCUAAUGGUCGCACCUUUCAUCAAAUUCGAGCAAUGACAAUAAAAAAAAAGAAAUUUACAGAUUUUCAUUUUUAUCACGAAGUUCAUGCUUUAAAAAAUUAGUAAGAAACAAAAUGAUGAACCUCCAGAAAUCAUUGAAAAAUCAUUGUAAGUUUCAAAACAGAAGCUCUCCAGUUUUGAUGUGCAUAAUUGUUUGUUUGAUGACAUAUUCUUUGAUUGUUUUGGGAUGAAAUAUAAAGUUAUUAUGUUGUUUUGUACCAUUUAAUUAUUAAAUUAUAUAUAUAAGUUUUUCGAUGUUAUCGUUGUUACUAAGUGGAAACUGAAAAUGAGAUGUUUGAUUAGAUAGGAAAUAUAUAUUUUCAUUCAAUAUAGCCAACACUAAAACAAAUAAAAAAGUUUAGUUACUUCUUUAAAUUUUAUUUUUUGAAAAGAAAACUAAUUUUCAGAAAACAUUUAUAUGCAGUUUGGUUAAUUUUAAUUUCCAGAUUAUUAAUGAUUACACUACAUUUAAAUUAUUUUGUAUGAUAGGAUAUGAAACUCAAGUAAAAUUUUGUUAGAAAUGUAAUGCUUAUAUUAAUUUAUAACACUAUUAACUUAUAAAAAUAUUUUCAAAUAGCACGAGCGAAAUUUCCAACAAAUAUUUUUUUUUAAGUUCAACAAAUGCCAAAAUAUUUUACAAAACAUAAUUAGUAAAACACCAAAAUUAAAGAAAAUUUAAUUAUAAAUUGAAAAUUUAUCAUAAA